UUUUUUUUUUUUUUGCCAAUUUAAAUAGUUUUAUUAUUCCAUGUUACUUGUUUUGGGUCCCUGUGGAACAAUGCUAUACCCUCUACUUUGACUUAAUCGACCUCUUCAAUGGUGGGGCCUGAAGAAGCACCACCAGAUGGAGGAGCUCCUCCACCAGGGAAGCCACCAGGCAUUCCUCCAGGCAUGCCACCAGCACUCUGGUACAGCUUGGUGAUGAUAGGGUUGCAGACCUUCUCCAGUUCUUUCUGCUGAUGCUCAAAUUCUUCCUUCUCCGCAGUCUGGUUCUUAUCCAGCCAGCUGAUGAUUUCGUUGCACUUGUCAAGAAUCUUCUGUUUGUCUUCAUCAUUGAUCUUGCCUUGAAGUUUCUCAUCCUCAACAGUUGCUUUCAUGUUGAAAGCAUAAGACUCCAGCGACUUUGUACUUCUCAGCUUCUUGGACCAUGCGCUCAAUAUCCUCCUUACUCAAGCGGCCCUUGUCAUUGGUGAUGGUGAUCUUGUUCUCCUUUCCUGUGCUCUUAUCUACAGCAGAAACAUUGAGGAUGCCAUUGGCAUCAAUGUCAAAAGUAACCUCAAUCUGAGGAACCCCACGGGGUGCUGGAGGUAUGCCUGUGAGCUCAAACUUCCCAAGCAGGUUGUUGUCCUUGGUCAUGGCCCUUUCACCUUCAUACACCUGGAUGAGUACACCUGGCUGGUUGUCAGAGUAGGUGGUGAAAGUCUGGGUCUGCUUGGUGGGAAUGGUGGUAUUGCGCUUGAUGAGGACAGUCAUGACUCUACCAGCAGUUUCAAUCCCAAGGGAAAGAGGAGUGACAUCCAAGAGCAGCAAAUCCUGAACAUUCUCAGACUUGUCUCCAGAUAGAAUGGCUGCCUGGACAGCUGCACCAUAGGCAACAGCUUCAUCGGGGUUAAUGCUCUUAUUCAGCUCUUUCCCAUUGAAGAAGUCUUGCAGAAGUUUCUGGAUCUUGGGGAUUCUGGUAGAACCACCCACCAGGACAAUAUCAUGGAUCUGUGACUUGUCUAGUUUGGCAUCUCGAAGGGCCUUCUCUACAGGGUCCAGUGUGCCACGGAACAGGUCAGCAUUCAACUCCUCAAAUCGAGCACGGGUAAUGGAGGUGUAGAAGUCAAUUCCCUCAUAGAGAGAAUCAAUCUCAAUACUGGCCUGGGUGCUGGAGGAGAGGGUGCGCUUGGCCCGCUCACAGGCAGUGCGGAGACGCCUGACAGCUCUCUUGUUCUCACUGAUGUCCUUCUUGUGCUUUCGCUUAAACUCAGCAAUGAAAUGGUUGACCAUUCGGUUGUCAAAGUCUUCUCCGCCCAAGUGGGUGUCUCCAGCUGUUGAUUUGACUUCAAAAAUUCCAUCCUCGAUAGUGAGGAUUGACACAUCAAAAGUGCCACCUCCCAAGUCAAAAAUGAGCACAUUCCUUUCAGCCCGACCUUCUUAUCUAAGCCAUAGGCAAUAGCAGCAGCAGUUGGCUCAUUGAUAAUUCGAAGUACGUUGAGGCCAGCAAUAGUUCCAGCAUCUUUUGUUGCCUGUCGCUGAGAGUCAUUGAAGUAAGCUGGCAUGGUGACCACGGCAUUGGUAACAGUCUUUCCAAGGUAAGCUUCUGCAAUUUCCUUCAUUUUUGUCAGAACCAUUGAAGACACUUCCUCAGGAUAGAAACUUUUUGUCUCCCCUUUGUAUUCGACUUGGACCUUGGGCCUGCCUGCAUCGUUCACCACCAUGAAGGGCCAGUGCUUCAUGUCAGACUGAACAACAGCAUCAUCGAACCUACGUCCGAUCAGACGUUUGGCAUCAAAAACUGUGUUGGUGGGGUUCAUUGCAACCUGAUUCUUGGCCGCAUCCCCAAUUAAUCGUUCUGUGUCGGUGAAAGCAACAUAGCUCGGCGUGGUGCGGUUACCCUGGUCAUUGGCAAUUAUUUCCACCUUUCCAUGCUGGAAGACACCCACACAGGAGUAGGUGGUGCCAAGAUCAAUGCCAACUGCAGGUCCCUUAGACAUGGUUGCUUGCGUGUAGGCCCAGCUGUGCUGAUGACGAGACCACACAGAGACCCCCGAGAGCUGGCUCCGCGUUCAAUGAGC
ensembl:lncRNA